rnacentral:tRNA from 1 species
UCCCAGGUGGCUCAGACGGUAAAGUGUCUGCCUCCAAUGUGGAAGACCCAGGUUCAAUCCCUGGGUCGGGAA